rnacentral:snRNA from 1 species
AUACCAUUCUCGGCCUUUAGGCUAAAGAUCAAGACAUCAAGUGUAGUAUCUGUUCUUACAAGUUUAAUAUUUGAUGGGCCAUCGGCCCACUUGAUAUUAAUCUUAUUUUUAACAGGGCCAUCACAAUAGCUUGCUAUUUAUUGGGCCCUUUGAGUACUAUUGCCUUGGCCUGGUGCACCCCUCCA